rnacentral:tRNA from 1 species
AACGCCUAGUUCUCGGCCAUCUUACCUUAUACUAAGGGGUCAUAGUAUAAAAGAUAAAGAGUUACA